rnacentral:rRNA from 1 species
UCCAGACUCCUACGGGAGGCAGCAGUGGGGAAUAUUGGGCAAUGGGCGCAAGCCUGACCCAGCAACGCCGCGUGAAGGAAGAAGGCUUUCGGGUUGUAAACUUCUUUUAAGAGGGAAGAGAAGAAGACGGUACCUCUUGAAUAAGCCACGGCUAACUACGUGCCAGCAGCCGCGGUAAUACGGGGGGUGCAAGCGUUGUCCGGAAUCAUUGGGCGUAAAGCGUUCGUAGGCGGCAAGGUAAGUCUGAUGUUAAAGCCCGGGGCUCAACUCCGGUUCGGCAUUGGAUACUAUCUAGCUAGAAUGUGGUAGAGGUAAAGGGAAUUCCUGGUGUAGCGGUGAAAUGCGUAGAUAUCAGGAGGAACAUCGGUGGCGGAAGCGCUUUACUGGACCAUUAUUGACGCUGAGGAACGAAAGCCAGGGGAGCAAAUGGGAUUAGAUACCCGUGUACC